UUCCUCAUAGCUCAGUUAGUAAAGAAUCCGCCUGCAAUGCAGGAGACCCUGGUUCGAUUCCUGGUGGGAAGA
rnacentral:tRNA from 1 species